GCACAAGUGGGGGUUCUAGCAUCUGAAGAGAGAAUUUGUCAUAGGCUAGAGACAACUCAUGGGACUUGGCAGCCAAAGGCUUUGCAACAAUAGGUAGUCUCAGCUCAGCUUUACCUACUGCAUCUGGAAUAGAUGAAGAAUCUUUCUCAAUAACCAGUUGCCUGGGAACACCAACUUCCCCAUAGGUGUCCGACAAAUUCAGGUCCGCAACAUCUUCAAGCAU
rnacentral:misc_RNA from 1 species